AUGGCAUAUUCAGACCAUAUUUGGAUUUUGUCCUUCAUAUUUGGAUUUUCUUUAUAUGACUAUGAAUGCAUAACCCCAGCAUCAGCCUGUCUGCCCUCCCCUUUAUUCCUACCAGCCCCGUAUUCUUUGUGUUCUGUAUCUUCCUAUGUAUGUUUUAGGAAACAAGAGGGCUUAUCGUCCGUCCUUCCUGACAUUUCUCACUGCCACUCUGCACUAGACUCCAUUCACGUUCACUACCUGGAAAUCCUGGACCAGGGGAUAAGGAGCACUGGCAUCACCUCGCGGCCUGCAGGUCGUUCCUCUCAGAUGACCUCUGAUUGCUGCACUGGGCACUGGACCUACAAGAAGCAAAGGAGGCCAAGAAGAGGAAGAGGCGGGUGCUGCCAGCACCCAGUUGCCGCCGAAGGCACUUGCUCUGUUGUGAGCCCAGUACCAGGCAAUGCAUUGGUCCCUUCCGCCCCAAGCGCCAUGCCUGCCCAGGUCAGUCAUCUCUGGGUUCCCGAUUCUUCCGCAUCUCAUCUCCCACCCACGUGAAGUCUGUGUUGUCCUGGAGUCAGGGAGCAAGGGCCUUCCCUAUUUCUUGCUUGUAAUCCCAGUUGAACUCCUGACUUCUGAUACUGAUUCUCCUCAGUAGGUUUGCCCCUUUGGAGGCCAGAAAGUCUCCUCCUCCUGCUCUUUGCCCCACUGCUGGCCAUCUCUGGGUGCACGGUGUCAUGCACAGUGUGCAACGGGAGCGGUUUCUUUGCUCCUUCUUGAUUCUCGUGCUUUCUCUUCCUUCUUUUUAAAACAUUUAGCUGCACCCAGAGUUUUCCGAGCAGCACUGAGACACCCCAUGUCCCCUUGCUCCCAAUGACAGUCUCAUGGAUCUGUCAUAAUGCAUCUCUCACAGCGUCUAGCACCGGCCAGACACUUGGUGAAGUUGACCCGCAUGUCUGAAAUGGGACGUUGCUGAAAUGGUAACUGUGUGGGGUUUAUACGCUGGAGGGCUUUAUGUCAGAGCAGGGUUUCUCAAACUCGGCGCUAAUGACAUUUGGGGCCAGGUAAUUCUUUUGUUGUGCGGCUCUCUCUCCUGUGCAUUGCAGGAUUUUUAGCAGCAUCUCUGGGGUCUACCUCCCCCAAAUUGGUUGUCCUCCCAGAUAACCAAAACUAUCUUCUCCAGGCACUGCCAAAUGUCCCCUGGGUGCAAAAUGCUCACUGCCCAGAACCCUGCACGAGGCUUCUACUCCCACUUUCCUCUGAUGGACUUCUAAAUGCUAGAAGGUGCAGGUCUGCUCUCUGGGGCCGUCCAGCGAUUUGAGGGACACCCUAAUUUAUUUGAGAGAUUGACGCUCGGCUGCUGAAUAUGCCGGAGGGAGUGAAGUGGUCUCAUAAAGAGGCUUUCUCAUAAAGACUUCUGAUGAAUCCUCCUGUUUCCUGCCGGCUCAGUCUGUGGAGCCUGGGUCCUAACUUCUGAGCAUCCCCUUCCAGUCGUGUCCUCCCCCCUCGCUCCCCUCCCUCACCACCCGCCUUCAGUGCUCUGGGCAGCUGCUUCCUC
rnacentral:lncRNA from 1 species